CUUACCUGGUCUUGACAUCCACAGAAGAAUCCAGAGAUGGAUUUGUGCCUUCGGGAACUGUGAGACAGGUGCUGCAUGGCUGUCGUCAGCUCGUGUUGUGAAAUGUUGGGUUAAGUCCCGCAACGAGCGCAACCCUUAUCCUUUGUUGCCAGCGGUCCGGCCGGGAACUCAAAGGAGACUGCCAGUGAUAAACUGGAGGAAGGUGGGGAUGACGUCAAGUCAUCAUGGCCCUUACGACCAGGGCUACACACGUGCUACAAUGGCGCAUACAAAGAGAAGCGACCUCGCGAGAGCAAGCGGACCUCAUAAAGUGCGUCGUAGUCCGGAUUGGAGUCUGCAACUCGACUCCAUGAAGUCGGAAUCGCUAGUAAUCGUGGAUCAGAAUGCCACGGUGAAUACGUUCCCGGGCCUUGUACACACCGCCCGUCACACCAUGGGAGUGGGUUGCAAAAGAAGUAGGUAGCUUAACCUUCGGGAGGGCGCUUACCACUUUGUGAUUCAUGACUGGGGUGAAGUCGUAACAAGGUAACCGUAGGGGAACCUGC
rnacentral:rRNA from 1 species